CUACUUAGAAAAAUGAUAGCAAGAAUCUUAAAUAUGUGAAAACAAAAAUGUUUUUCCUUGAGGUAUUAAGAUGGUGAAUCAUUGGAAAGAUGGAAAGAUAUGAGUCACAACCUAAAGUUUUUUCCCUUGGUACUUAGAAGACUACAUUUCCCAGAAAUAUCCACAAGGAACUUCACCCCACAAAAAGAGAGAGGACCUCUAUCCCCAUUACUCCCAUCUGGGAUGGUGUUAAGAAUCUCUCCUCAGCAACAUAAAGCGUUUGAUUGAGAAGAAGAGAACCAAUGUUUAGUUACAACAUAAAUUGUAACAAAUGCAGGUGCAAUUGUGGGGAGAAGGCAGCAAAACAGAACAGAGUAAAUAAAGCUACAAGCUCC